GAUGAACCUCACUUGUGGGGGGAUUAGUGGCGAACGGGUGAGUAACACGUGAGUAACCUGCCCUUGACUCUGGGAUAAGCCUGGGAAACCGGGUCUAAUACUGGAUACGACCUUCCCGCGCAUGCGGUGUUGGUGGAAAGCUUUUGCGGUUUUGGAUGGACUCGCGGCCUAUCAGCUUGUUGGUGGGGUAAUGGCCUACCAAGGCGACGACGGGUAGCCGGCCUGAGAGGGUGACCGGCCACACUGGGACUGAGACACGGCCCAGACUCCUACGGGAGGCAGCAGUGGGGAAUAUUGCACAAUGGGCGCAAGCCUGAUGCAGCGACGCCGCGUGAGGGAUGAAGGCCUUCGGGUUGUAAACCUCUUUCAGUAGGGAAGAAGCCGGCCUUUCGGGGUUGGUGACGGUACCUGCAGAAGAAGCGCCGGCUAACUACGUGCCAGCAGCCGCGGUAAUACGUAGGGCGCAAGCGUUAUCCGGAAUUAUUGGGCGUAAAGAGCUCGUAGGCGGUUUGUCGCGUCUGCCGUGAAAGUCCGGGGCUUAACUCCGGAUCUGCGGUGGGUACGGGCAGACUAGAGUGCAGUAGGGGAGACUGGAAUUCCUGGUGUAGCGGUGAAAUGCGCAGAUAUCAGGAGGAACACCGAUGGCGAAGGCAGGUCUCUGGGCUGUAACUGACGCUGAGGAGCGAAAGCAUGGGGAGCGAACAGGAUUAGAUACCCUGGUAGUCCAUGCCGUAAACGUUGGGCACUAGGUGUGGGGGACAUUCCACGUUUUCCGCGCCGUAGCUAACGCAUUAAGUGCCCCGCCUGGGGAGUACGGCCGCAAGGCUAAAACUCAAAGGAAUUGACGGGGGCCCGCACAAGCGGCGGAGCAUGCGGAUUAAUUCGAUGCAACGCGAAGAAC
rnacentral:rRNA from 1 species